rnacentral:rRNA from 1 species
AGCCUGAAUCAGCAUGUGUGUUAGUGGAAGCGUCUGGAAAGUCGCGCGAUACAGGGUGACAGCCCCGUACACAAAAGCGCAUGUGUUGUGAGCUCGAUGAGUAGGGCGGGACACGUGGUAUCCUGUCUGAAUAUGGGGGGACCAUCCUCCAAGGCUAAAUACUCCUGACUGACCGAUAGUGAACCAGUACCGUGAGGGAAAGGCGAAAAGAACCCCGGCGAGGGGAGUGAAAAAGAACCUGAAACCGUGUACGUACAAGCAGUGGGAGCACCCUUCGGGGUGUGACUGCGUACCUUUUGUAUAAUGGGUCAGCGACUUAUAUUCUGUAGCAAGGUUAACCGAAUAGGGGAGCCGGAGGGAAACCGAGUCUUAAUUGGGCGUUAAGUUGCAGGGUAUAGACCCGAAACCCGGUGAUCUAGCCAUGGGCAGGUUGAAGGUUGGGUAACACUAACUGGAGGACCGAACCGACUAAUGUUGAAAAAUUAGCGGAUGACCUGUGGCUGGGGGUGAAAGGCCAAUCAAACCGGGAGAUAGCUGGUUCUCCCCGAAAGCUAUUUAGGUAGCGCCUCGUGAAUUCAUCUCCGGGGGUAGAGCACUGUUUCGGCUAGGGGGCCAUCCCGGCUUACCAACCCGAUGCAAACUGCGAAUACCGGAGAAUGUUAUCACGGGAGACACACGGCGGGUGCUAACGUCCGUCGUGAAGAGGGAAACAACCCAGACCGCCAGCUAAGGUCCCAAAGUCAUGGUUAAGUGGGAAACGAUGUGGGAAGGCCCAGACAGCCAGGAUGUUGGCUUAGAAGCAGCCAUCAUUUAAAGAAAGCGUAAUAGCUCACUGGUCGAGUCGGCCUGCGCGGAAGAUGUAACGGGGCUAAACCAUGCACCGAAGCUGCGGCAGCGACACUGUGUGUUGUUGGGUAGGGGAGCGUUCUGUAAGCCUGUGAAGGUGUGUCGUGAGGCAUGCUGGAGGUAUCAGAAGUGCGAAUGCUGACAUAAGUAACGAUAAAGCGGGUGAAAAGCCCGCUCGCCGGAAGACCAAGGGUUCCUGUCCAACGUUAAUCGGGGCAGGGUGAGUCGACCCCUAAGGCGAGGCCGAAAGGCGUAGUCGAUGGGAAACGGGUUAAUAUUCCCGUACUUGGUGUUACUGCGAAGGGGGGACGGAGAAGGCUAUGUUGGCCGGGCGACGGUUGUCCCGGUUUAAGCGUGUAGGUGUGUGUUCCAGGUAAAUCCGGUUCACUUUAACACUGAGGCGUGACGACGAGGCACUACGGUGCUGAAGCAACAAAUGCCCUGCUUCCAGGAAAAGCCUCUAAGCAUCAGGUAACAUCAAAUCGUACCCCAAACCGACACAGGUGGUCAGGUAGAGAAUACCAAGGCGCUUGAGAGAACUCGGGUGAAGGAACUAGGCAAAAUGGUGCCGUAACUUCGGGAGAAGGCACGCUGACACGUAGGUGAAGUGAUUUACUCAUGGAGCUGAAGUCAGUCGAAGAUACCAGCUGGCUGCAACUGUUUAUUAAAAACACAGCACUGUGCAAACACGAAAGUGGACGUAUACGGUGUGACGCCUGCCCGGUGCCGGAAGGUUAAUUGAUGGGGUCAGCGCAAGCGAAGCUCCUGAUCGAAGCCCCGGUAAACGGCGGCCGUAACUAUAACGGUCCUAAGGUAGCGAAAUUCCUUGUCGGGUAAGUUCCGACCUGCACGAAUGGCGUAAUGAUGGCCAGGCUGUCUCCACCCGAGACUCAGUGAAAUUGAACUCGCUGUGAAGAUGCAGUGUACCCGCGGCAAGACGGAAAGACCCCGUGAACCUUUACUAUAGCUUGACACUGAACAUUGAGCCUUGAUGUGUAG